rnacentral:rRNA from 1 species
GACGAACGCUGGCGGCGUGCUUAACACAUGCAAGUCGAACGGAAAGGCCCUGCUUUUGUGGGGUGCUCGAGUGGCGAACGGGUGAGUAACACGUGAGUAACCUGCCCUUGACUUUGGGAUAACUUCAGGAAACUGGGGCUAAUACCGGAUAGGAGCUCCUGCUGCAUGGUGGGGGUUGGAAAGUUUCGGCGGUUGGGGAUGGACUCGCGGCUUAUCAGCUUGUUGGUGGGGUAGUGGCUUACCAAGGCUUUGACGGGUAGCCGGCCUGAGAGGGUGACCGGCCCCAUUGGGACUGAGGUACGGCCCAGACUCCUACGGGAGGCAGCAGGGGGGAAUAUUGCACAAUGGGCGGAAGCCGGAUGCAGCAACGCCGCGUGCGGGAUGACGGCCUUCGGGUUGUAAACCGCUUUCGCCUGUGACGAAGCGUGAGUGACGGUAAUGGGUAAAGAAGCACCGGCUAACUACGUG